rnacentral:lncRNA from 1 species
UUUUUUUUUGAGGUCGACUGGUCGACUUUGUCUUCAACAGGAUUAGUGGGGGCACGCUGAGUGCACCCACUGGGUGUAGUCCCCGAGACUACGGUCGAAUGCUUGUAUUUGGCUGUAGUCUUAGAAACGUGUGUUUUUCCCUUUUUCACUCGGAAGUGAAUUAUAAUUUGACAUUUAGUCGAUUGGUUCUUCGCAGAACUCUUGUGAUCUUGUGGCUCGCUACUCAGAGCUGGAACACAAGCAUACUCAAGUCAAGCUGAGCUUGAAGCUAGUUCAGGAGAAGCUGACAAAGGCAAAGGAGGAGACCGAAGGUAUGUUUGGUGAGACCCUGACGACUGCUUUUCCCCUUGCUUGUUUCAAAAUCUGAUCUUGCUGUAACUUGUAGGUAAGGUAAGGGAGGCCCAGCAGAAGAAAGACCUUGAGCUAGCUGAGAAGAUCAAGCUUGCCGACGAGAAGUUAGCUUCAGUCACCAAGCUUGAACAAGACAAUACCAAUCUGAAAGCUGCUCUUGGGAUUGACAACAAGGAGGUCAGUCGACUGAAAACUGAUAAAGCUGCACUGACCGACCAAGUCAGCAAAUUGACUGGGAAGAAAACUGAUCUGGAGGCCUUCCUGAGUGGACUUGCCAAGAAGCUGUUUCUUAUGCUUGAAGGUAAACCUCUAUGCUUGGCAGACAUUUCCAAUUGUGAUUUUUCCAUUCGACCAUCCUCUUGACUUAGUGACCACCCUUGCAGAAUUUUGUCAAAACUUUGAAGAAGAAACCAGCCGGCUGGAGCCAAACCUUGACCCCGUCAAUUCUCCGGUGAACGACGAAGUUGCCAUGGAUGUUUUCCGACUGGAGUCUCGUGUUGCAGCUGUCGUGGACUAUCUCGCAAGGCUGAAGGCCGCCACAUCUCGCAUCGACUCGACGCUCUGGCCUGAGGAGACACUUCAGAAUGACCUUGAGUCGCUGAUGGCCCGCUUGGACACGAUCCCUGGUCGAGUGCAGGAGUGGAAGAAGUCCUCGGCUCGGUGUGGUGCAGAUGUCGCUCUGUGUCUGGCCCGAGUCCACUGCAAAGAUGCGCGAGAAGAGAAGCUGGCGGCCCUUCGGGUGGCCAAUACCAAGAAGCACGACUUCAGAUCCUUUAUGGAAACUUUCCUUGCAGCUGCCACUCGGAUCGCCGACGGGAUUGACCUUGAUGAAUUUGUUGCACCUUCCAGCCCUCCACAGGAGGGGUAAAAAACUUCUUCUGGCUCGACGCUUUAAAUUUGCCUCGGUAUGCCGAGUGGAAUUGUAACCGACAAACCUUAACAGGCUUGACGCCUGAGCACUUUCGGUUCCUUUAGAUGUCGAUUCAAACUUGGAUUUGGUGCUUGAAUACGAUUGCCUUCGGCUCGGAAUGUCUUUUGCAGGUUCAAAGCAAGGUGCCUGCACUGCAAUCGACUUAUUCUUUAGUCCACUUAGGCGAGCACUGGGCUGCAGCUAAGCCCCCGAGUGAGAGGAUUGCUCUUCACUCGGUAGGAUUUUGAUAAACUUAGGCGAGCACAUGGCUGCAGCUAAGCCCCCGAGUGAGAGGAUUGCUCUUCACUCGGUAGGAUUUUGAUAACUUAGGCGAGCACGAGGCUGCAGCUAAGCCCCCGAGUGAGAGGAUUGCUCUUCACUCGGUAGGAUUUUGAUAACUUAGGCGAGCACAUGGCUGCAGCUAAGCCCCCGAGUGAGAGGAUUGCUCUUCACUCGGUAGGAUUUUGAUAACUUAGGCGAGCACAUGGCUGCAGCUAAGCCCCCGAGUGAGAGGAUUGCUCUUCACUCGGUAGGAUUUUGAUAACUUAGGCGAGCACAUGGCUGCAGCUAAGCCCCCGAGUGAGAGGAUUGCUCUUCACUCGGUAGGAUUUUGAUAACUUAGGCGAGCACGAGGCUGCAGCUAAGCCCCCGAGUGAGAGGAUCGCUCUUCACUCGGUAGGAUUUUGAUAACUUAGGCGAGCACGAGGCUGCAGCUAAGCCCCCGAGUGAGAGGAUCGCUCUUCACUCGGUAGGAUUUUUAUAACUUAGGCGAGCACAUGGCUGCAGCUAAGCCCCCGAGUGGAAGGCUGGCUUACCACUCGGUAGGAUUUUGAUAACUUAGGCGAAACGGAUUCGCAGCUAAGCCUCCGAGUGGGAGCCUGGCUCACCACUCGGUAGGAUUUUUACAAACUUAGGCGAAACGGAUUCGCAACUAAGUCACCCACUGAGGGGAAAAAUAAAAAGUGACAGAUAUUGUGGAGGAGCAAUGACACUAUUGUUUUGAGGUCCAUGAACUACAAAAGUACUUUAUUGCAACUCAUCCGAGUGAUAAAACUUAAGUGUAAAAUGGGCGGAGUAGCUCCACGUUCCAAGCUCGGGGCUCGUCGAUAUUAUGCUCGACGUUGUAAAGAUGGUACGCCCCGUUGUGGAGAACCUUGGUGACGAUGAAGGGGCCUUCCCAAGAAGGAGCAAGCUUGUGUGGUUUGUGCUGAUCCACUCGGAGAACCAAAUCUCCUUCCUGGAAGGCUCGACCCCUCACAUUUCGGGCAUGGAAACGGCGCAGAUCUUGUUGGUAGAUGGUCGACCGGAUCAGAGCCAUCUCCCUUUCUUCCUCUAAAAGGUCGACUGCGUCCUGCCGCGCUUGUUCAGCUUCUGCUUCGUUGUAGAUUUCAAUUCGAGGAGCAUUGUGGAGAAGAUCACUCGGCAAGACUGCUUCAGCUCCAUAGACCAAGAAGAAUGGAGUUCUUCCGGUCGACCGAUUAGGCGUGGUCCGCAGUCCCCAGAGUACAGAUGGAAGUUCGUCGACCCAAGCUCCAGCCGCGUGUUUGAGAUCACGCAUCAGUCGAGGCUUCAGUCCCUUGAGAAUCAGUCCAUUAGCUCGCUCUGCUUGUCCAUUCGAUUGCGGAUGGGCGACUGAUGCGUAGUCGACCCGUGUGCCCUGGGAGUCGCAGAAAGCUCUGAAUUCCUCUGAGUCAAAGUUCGACCCAUUAUCCGUAAUGAUGCUGUGCGGGACUCCAUAUCUGAAUAUUAGUUCCCUGAUGAAGCUAACAGCAGUACCGGUGUCAAGGCUCUUGAUUGGUUUAGCCUCGAUCCACUUGGUGAACUUGUCGACUGCCACCAGUACAUGCGUGAAGCCACUUCGUCCUGUUCUCAAAGGACCGAUCAUGUCCAGCCCCCAAACUGCAAAAGGCCAGACGAGUGGGAUGGUCUUCAAAGCUGACACAGGCUUGUGCGACAUAUUCGAGUAGAACUGACAUCCCUCGCACUUAUCUACUAUCUCUUUUGCCAUCUCAUUCGCCUUGGGCCAGUAAAAUCCGGCUCGGUAUGCUUUGGCCACGAUGGUCCGAGAGGACGCAUGAUGACCACAGGUCCCCGAGUGAAUAUCAUUGAGGAUGAGUCGACCUUCUUCUGGUGUUAUGCACUUCUGACCGACUCCAGUCGCGCUUUCUCUGUAUAAUUGUCCUUUGAUUACGGUAAAGGCCUUAGAUCGACGGACGAUCUGUCGAGCCUCUUCCUCAUCCUCCGGAAGCUCUUUCCUCAAGAUAUAUGCGACAUACGGAAUCGUCCAGUCGGGAAUGACCACCAAAACCUCCAUGAUCAAGUCGACCACCGCUGGGACUUCAACUUCAGUCGGAUCUGUGGCGCUCUUGGGCUGCGGAGUUUCUUCGGUGAAAGGAUCUUCUUUGACUGACGGAGUGUGUAUAUGCUGCAAGAACACACCACUCGGAAUGGCUUCUCUCUUGGAACCUAUCUUUGCUAGAUCAUCAGCUGCUUGAUUUUUCAGUCGGGGUAUAUGAUGGAGCUCCAACCCCUCGAACUUCUUCUCCAGCUUCCUCACUGCACUGCAGUAUCCAGUCAUGGCUGGGCUUCUCACGUCCCACUCUUUCAUCACCUGAUUGACCACUAAAUCCGAGUCGCCAUAGACCAUUAGGCGACGGACGCCGAGUGAAAUGGCCAUGCGCAACCCAUAUAGGAGGGCCUCAUAUUCUGCCUCAUUGUUGGAGGAAUCAAAGUGAAUCUGGAGCACAUAUCUGAGCUUAUCUCCUCUGGGGGAAACCAGGACAACCCCAGCACCGGAACCAUUCAACAUCUUAGAGCCAUCGAAAAACAUGGUCCAAUGCUCCGAGUGAACUUCAGUCGGCUGCUGUUGUUCAAUCCACUCGGUGAGGAAAUCUGCUAUCGCCUGGGACUUAAUGGCUUUCUUUGCCUCAAACUUGAUAUCAAGGGGAAGAAGUUCAAUCGCCCAUUUGGCCACUCGACCAGUUGCAUCUCUGUUGUGCAAAAUCUCUGAUAGUGGAGCGUCGCUGACGACUGUGAUGGAAUGGUCAGAGAAAUAAUGAGCAACCUUCUUUGUGGUCAUGUAUAUUCCAUACACAAGCUUCUGAUAAUGAGGAUAUCUCUGCUUGGAUGGAGUCAAGACUUCAGACAAAUAAUACACUGGGCGCUGAACUUUGAGAGCUUUUCCUUCUUCUUCCCGCUCGACCGUUAGCACAGUACUGACGACUUGUCCUGUGGCUGCGAUGUAGAGCAACAGAGGCUCUUUGCUGAUUGGAGCAGCAAGCACCGGCUGGGUGGAGAGCAGAGCUUUUAGCUCGGCAAACGCUGCAUCAGCUUCUGGAGUCCACUCGAACUUGUCAGCCUUCUUCAUCAGUCGGUAAAGAGGCAGUGCCUUUUCACUGAGUCGUGAGAUGAAUCGACUUAAUGCGGCCAAGCAUCCAGUAAGCUUCUGGACAUCGUGCACUCGCACAGGGCGUUUCAUUCGGAGAAUAGUGCCAAUCUUCUCUGGGUUAGCGUCGAUUCCCCGUUCGGAAACGAGAAAACCGAGUAACUUGCCACCAGGAACUCCAAAUGUGCACUUUGAUGGAUUGAGCUUGAUAUCAUACCUUCUGAGGUUGGCAAAUGUUUCGGCAAGGUCAGCGAGCAGGUCGGAACCUUUUCGUGACUUGACAACAAUAUCAUCCAUAUAAGCUUCCACAUUCCGACUGAUUUGGGUGAGUAGACACUUCUGAAUCAUUCGCAUAAAUGUGGCUCCGGCAUUCUUGAGGCCGAAUGGCAUGGUGAUAUAGCAGAAGCACCCGAAUGGAGUGAUGAAAGCUGUUUUUACCUCAUCGGGCCCGUACAGACGGAUCUGGUGGUACCCGGAGUAAGCGUCUAAAAAAGACAACCUCUCGCAUCCCGCGGUUGAGUCAACAAUUUGAUCUAUGCGAGGGAGAGGAAAGUGAUCUUUCGGGCAGGCCCGGUUGAUGUGCUUGAAAUCAAUGCACAUUCGGAGCGACUUGUCCUUCUUAGGAACCAUGACGACAUUAGCGAGCCACUCGGAGUGGUAUAUCUCUCGGAUAAAUCCUGCCGCCAACAGUCGAGCCACUUCUUCACCGAUGGCCUUUCUCUUCUGGAUGGCGGACCGCCAAAGAUGCUCUUUGACUGGUUUUGCAGACGAGUCGACUCUUAGGCGAUGCUCAGCCAGUCCCCUGGGAACACCUGGCAUGUCAGCGGGCUUCCAUGCGAAAAUGUCCCAGUUCUCACGGAGGAACUGGAUGAGCGCUUCUUCCUAUUUUGGGUCGAGUGUUGUGGAGAUGCGGGUCGGAGCUGCUUCGGGGUCGGUUGGGUGAAUGUGAACAGGCUUCGUCUCACCGGACGACUGGAAUGCAGACUCUGUGGCGGGCUUCUUGGAUCGCAGCAAGUCACUCGGAUCUGCGUUUUGCUUGUAUUCUUCGAACUCGACCGCUGUCACUUGGGAAUCGGCAAUCUUGGAGCCCUUCUGAAAGCACUCCUCUGCCUUUUUCCUAUCACCGGUGACAGUGAUCACACCUUUGGGACCGGGCAUCUUCAAUUUGAGGUACACGUAACAUGGUCGAGCCAUGAACCGUGCAUAGGCUGGUCUCCCCAAAAUGGCAUGAUAUGCACUUUGAAAAUCCACGACCUCAAACGUCAACUUUUCUUUGCGAAAAUGCUUCGAAUCACCGAACACUACGUCCAAAGCUAUCUGGCCGAGUGACUCGGCCUUCUUCCCUGGUAUAACUCCAUGGAAGCUCAUGUUACUAGUGCUCAGUCGGGACAUCGGAAUGUCCAUACCUUUCAAUGUGUCUGCAUACAAUAAGUUCAGCCCACUUCCACCAUCCAUCAGCACCUUUGUCAGUCGAGUGCCUUCGACAACUGGAUCGACCACCAAAGCUUGCCUCCCGGGGGUGGCAAUAUGAGUCGGGUGAUCAGAUUGGUCGAAUGUGAUGGGUGUUUGAGACCACUUCAGAUAAUUUGCCUUUGCUGGGGCAACCAUGUUCACCUCUCGGUUAAUCACUUUCAGUCGACUUCUGCUUUCCACAUCUGCAAAGAUCAUCAGAGUGGAGUUGAUAUGCGGAUAUCCUCCCUCACUGUCCUCUUUGUCUUCGGCCUUGUCCGACUCCUUCUCCUUGUCCUUAGACUGUUUUCCCUGAAACUGCUGGAUCAGGAGUCGACAUUGGCGAGUGGUGUGCUUUGGGUAAAUGAUAUUCCCCUCUUCAUCUUUCUUCGUGUGAGUGUGACACGGCAUAUCCAUCACGGCGUUCCCUUCUUUAUCCUUUACCUUCUUGGGGUUCCAGGAUCCUUUUGGUUUCCCCUUAAACUUUCCUUGAGUCACGGCCAGAGCCUCUCCAGGAGCUGCCGGUUCAGCCUCCCGCUUCUGUUUCCGACUGGUGUUUCCUUUUUCCGACUGACUCGGCUUGUGCUUGCCGCUUCGGAGUCGGUCUUCUUCUUCGCCGUUGGCGUACUUGGUAGCAAUCUCCAUCAUCCGACUCAAGGUCAUGUCACCGGUUCGACCAAAUUUCAAACUCAGUUCUCUGUUCUUGACGCCGUCUUUGAAGGCGCAUACUGCCUGAUGAUCAGAGACAUUUUCCACAGUGUGGUGCAAAGUGAUCCACCUCUGAAUAUACUCUCUGAGAGUCUCAUUAGUUUUCUGCACGCAGACUUGCAACUCUGUCAAUCCCGCUGGUCGCUUGCAAGUCCCUUCAAAUGUUCUGACGAACACUCGGGACAGAUCUUCCCAAGUGUAAAUGCUGCUAGGAGGUAAUUGAGUCAACCAUGCCCUGGCAGAACCUUCCAACAUGAGGGGAAAAUGCUUCAUGGCCACCUCGUCGUUCCCACCACCGAUCUGAACUGCCACUUGGUAGUCUUCAAGCCAAGUUUCAGGCUUAGACUCACCAGUGAACUUGCUGACUCCUGUUGCCAACCUGAAAUUGGGGGGGAUAACUGCGGCUCUGAUAGCUCUGCUGAAACAUUCAGGACCAGAAACAUGUACUCGACUGCUCGUGGGUACAUCUCUGUCGAGUGCGCCUCGAUGGGCUUUGUUCCGGUCGACCAACCCUUGCACGAUAAUGGAUCGCGCGUCGAAGCCUGGCUCUCUGGGGUCAACUGGAACCCUACGCCCUGUACUGUACUGACGCCUAUCAUCUGGCUGCCGAGGAGCGUAAGACCCACCCCUCGGAGGGGAAUAGGGCACUCGACGCCUAUCAUCUCGGUCGAGUCUGUCGCCAUAUUGAUCUCGCCGAUUCUCACGCCCUUCGCGCCGCGGAGGCGAUCUGGGGCUGUGAGCCGACUGAACCGUAUUCACAGUGACAGAUCGACUGUGAAUUCUGUUGCGCGACUGAGACACGGCUGAAUUCUGAUCUCCUGCUGCCCGGAGCAGAUCCCUGAUCUGCAGCAAACCUCUGCCAGCUUCCGACUGCGAAGGCUGAAUGGACUCUGCUAUACGGGUCGCAGCUGCUAAAUUCUGAAUUGGGGUUCGAUAUACCUGAGUCGGCGGGAAGAGUUGACGUCGACUGGUGUCGGGAACUCGUUGCCGCACGCGCUCGUCGAGUGCUCGCUGAAGGUUCUCCAGUCGAGUGCGCUCGGCCAAAUUGGCCAGACGCGCCUCCUCCAAGGCACGAGCCUCGGGGGUUUCUCCUGCGAUGGGAAUACGCAGGGGAUCCUUGUUCCUGCGGCGAAGCUCUUCUCUUUGCAGAGAGUCGAGUGGCUCGGGCUGGUACUCUUCGUAGUCUCGUGCAGGGUCGCCGCCGUCACCUGCUCCACCACCACGGGCGAAGCCAGGAGGGCUGUGGGGCCCGUCGACCAUCAAGAUUUCCGCCGCUGGAUCACUGCUUCCGCACUCGGAUGCAAUCUCUCCGGAGCCAGUCGACUGAUCGAACAAGCCGUAGAGAGAUUCGUUGGGCUCGAUUGCCGCAACUUGUGUAGUGGCCGAUUGGCGAGCCACCGCGUGACUCACCCAUCGCUGAAGCCUCGACCGGCCUGAGCGCUUGCGCUGGCGGGAGACCGGGAGGGUGGACGAUGGAGGAGCCGACCGAUACUGGGUCGACGGUUGCCGCAGCAGAACGCCGCGGACACAUGCGCGAAAAUGCGUCGCACCGCGGACGGGGAGCGCGCCUACGUCGAGUGGAGCCUCCUGGAGCCAUGCGGAGUCGUCGGCGAUGAAGGUGAGAGUGCCGAGACGGAUCUCUUGACCCUUGACCAAAACUCCAGCAGACACCAUGAUGAGAGUACUCGGAAGAAUUGCAACUUCUCCACAAAAUCGCUAAAACACCUGCCCCACGGUGGGCGCCAACUGUCGUGGUUCUAAGCCUGACAGUAGAGUGGGGGGUAGGUAUGGAGAGGCAAGGUCCUAGCUAUGGAGAGGUUGUAAGCACAAAGGAUGUACGAGUUCAGGCCCUUCUCGGAAGAAGUAACAGCCCUACGUCUCGGAGCCCGGAGGCGGUUGAGUGGAUUAUGAAUGUAUGAAUUACAAGGUGCCGAACCCCUCUGCCUGUGGAGGAGGGUGGCUUAUAUAGAGUGCGCCAGGACCCUAGCCAGCCUACGCAGGAGAGGGUUUAAGGUGAGUUAAGUCUGGGGCGUUACUGGUAACGCCCCACAUAAAGUGCCUUUACUAUCAUAAAGUCUACUUGAUUACAGGCCGUCGCAGUGCAGAGUGCCUCUUGACCUCCUGGUGGUCGAGUGAGUCUUCGUGGUCGAGUCCUUCAGGCCAGUCGAGUGAGUCCUCAUUGGUCGACUGGAAGGCGACCUCUUCUAAGGAUGUCUUGGGGUAAGUUACUUGGAACAGGUCCAUGACCCUACCCUAGGUACAUAACCCCAUCACCACCCACCUGUCGCCCACAUGACCAAGAGGGAGAGCCACGACCACCGACAUGGUUCCCGCCGGAGAGCCAACCAUGCGGACCGCCAUCCGAAGCCGCCGCUUUGGCAUCCACGUCCAAGCCACCACCAUCCAUCCACAUCACGAAGCACCAAUCUCACGAAGGAGGAAAGAAAGGGAUCUCCUUUCAUUCCUAGCCCGACAUCAGCCACGGGACCUAUGUCGAAGCCCCCACAGUAGGGGGCAUCCACACCUGCGUCCCCGGCCAGUCUCGGGGGGGCGGGGGGGGCACGAUCCGGCCCGUCAUCUCGGCCGCCGCACGCCCCGCCACCAAUCACGUCGCCCGAAGCCCGGCAAGAGCACCGGAACCCACCACGGCCCCUUGCCCGGCUUUGAAAUGGGUCGGGACCUCCAUCGUAGUGAAUUUAUCUCCUAGAAAGAGAGAAUUCCAUCUAAACAAGGCUGCAUCUAUUCAAUGAAAUAACAUAUCAUGUAAAGGUACAUCAUAGAUCAUAAAAAAGAUAAUUGAGUAAUCGAUGCAAGGGUACAUCUUGUGCAGUAUUUGUUGUACAUCUUGUAACCUUGAUUUUACCAUGCAAGACUAGUGAUAGAUAUUUACCAACACCAAAUAGAAUUGACUGAUCGCCCUCCUAAUGCUUUUGAGCUAAUUAAGUACCUUCGGAUCCGAGCUUUAAAUGUCAAAAGGAGCUUCACAGAAUCUUGAAUCCUCCAAAUCACUCUACCAGUUCUGUAUUGCACAAAGAAGGCAGCAAUGAGCCAAUGACAUCAGUAGCAACAAUAGGUGCCGCAAUUAUAUAUCUUAUCCUCAGCAGAUGCAUCAAAAUGCAAAAGUGAGCAAGCGUCUGAAAAGAUAGAACAUACUGUAUACUAUGUAAGUUAGGACAGUUGAAAGGUACUUAUCAUUCAUCCCUUGAAUAAAGAUGAUGCUCAUUAAGGUUGGCAUUUUCUUUCUUUAUGUACACAUGAAUUAUUUCUACAGGCAAUGUACAAUAUAGCUCGGCUUUUAAAAAUAGAGAAGAGAAUCAAUACAGCUUUUAGUGUACCAAACAAAGAUGAAGGAUGGAUUAUGUCGCAAGCCAAUGGUGUAGUGAUCAAAUUGUAGAUGCUGAUAUGUUUUGUAUUGAGAGAAUCCUAGUAUUUACAGGAUCAGUGUACAGGGUAUUUUUUUUCUAUAUGAAAUACAAAGGAGGUCUAUGUACUUGUUUAAUUAUUAGAAUUCAAAUAUGUGAUUGUUUCCCUGAUUAUUUUCAAAACUAAAAUAUGAAAAAAAAAUGUGUAAUCUGGAAAUAAAGAGAAAAAAGAUCUGAAAUUCUUUGUUUCCAGUGAAAAUUCAAUGAAACACAUUGCAAAGCCAAAAUAAGAUACUCCAAAAUCCAUCCAAAUAAAAUCAGAAAUUCUCUGAAUUUUUAGUAUACCACAUACACCACUAGUAUGCAAAGAACUUAACUAAUUCCUUUGAGAUGCAAAAUAACUCAACUAAUCUGGAUCACCUCCAGCUUAGAAAGCUCCUAUUUGACCAAAGAAUCACCGCCAGCCCCAAUAUCAAUCACCUCUUCUGCCCGGUGGGAUAAUCUUUGGAAUUCUUCUCUCCUGCAACAGAGGGGUUAUCUUCAGUUUUUUUUCACAUAUAAACGCAGCACGGUUAGCAUAGAAUUCGCCUCUUUCCAGCAUACAGCAGCUGUUAACUGACAGGAGGGUUGCCACGUCGCCAAGGAGGAGUGCUCCGCCGCCAGCUGGCCGGAUAAGGAGCGGGAGCAGAGGAGGAGGGAGAAUACCUUGGUAGAGCAUAGGAGGCCGCUUGGAGGAGGAGGAGCGAUUCGCCAUCACGGUGAGGUCACGACUGCUGGCCAACGUCGCCGUCGCGGCCAGGAGCGAGUCACCAUCGUCGGCGGGGCUAACCCACAUCGUGGCCAACGUCUUCGGCGCCUCACCACGUCGCCGUCGCGAACGUUGGCGGCGCAACCUCGAUCUAGGUCUCGAGCAACAGGCGAUGUGGGGAAAAACGACGGGCGUUGGUCUGUAUCGAAUAUGGGCCUAUAAUACGGGUUUUUUUAGGGGAAAGACCUUUUAUUAAUCAAAGUCCACCGAAUGUGGGAUACAAUUUUGGUCAUGUGGCUGGCCUAACCACACAUGACGCCCUGACAAUAAGGACAGUGAAUGUUUAGCUAGCUUAUGAGCUUCAACAUUUGCCUCACGCCUUUCGAAAGUAAAUUUACAUGUGGAAGGUGAUCUUAAUCUAAUCUCUCUAAUGAUGACUCCGUAAACUCCCUGGCAUCCUUUUCCAAUGUCCUCAAUCAGCCUAUAAUACGGGUGUAAACAAGAAAACCGGUGUAAAAUUUACGGCCCAGAAAUGACAUGCAAGCACCAACACGAGGCCCAUCCGUUUUUAUUUUACAGGUGUAUUGGGCCCCAAAACGACGAACCAAUCGGGGCCUUAAGGCGCGCGGAGCCCUGGCGAUGCACCGACUCGCCCACCUCAUGGAGUUUGCCAACAGGCUAGUCUAGCUCGGGUUGGUCUCGUUUUUUUGAACACCAACAGCAGUGAAGAAACAGCAACAACUUACACAGCAAAAGUAGUACAACUGACUCCGGUAUACAACAAUUGCCUCCAGUAUAGAGAAAAUUAACACAAAAGACUUGGGUUCCAAUAUCUCAAAUAUGGCAAAGGCAGCUGGGCAGAACGAGUAACCGACUAUUAUAAGACCAAAUAAUAUAUGGUAGAUAACAGAAACAAAAGCACGUUUGCAACCCACGGUAAAAGCAUUAAUGACUCAAACCCUCUAGAGGAAAUGUGAGAUUUCAUCCAAACACGUCUAGUUUUGAAUACAAAAAAUGCAUGCAUAUUCAUCGUCCGCUUCCUAAGGUGAAACAAGUUUAUCCUUCCAACACAGGCUAUUAUCAUCAAGUAGCACAUUCAACCUAGUUCAUCCUUCUAACGAGCUGGUUGAUGUAGUUCUCACGGUUGCCAGCGUCACCACCCUCGACGUAGUGGUUCCUCUUCUUCUUCAGGCCGCCGAGCGGUACUUUAAGCUUGAAUAGCCAUAAGAAGUUGUUCGCCUCCUUGAAGUGUGGGCCAACGGUCAAGAUCUCGUGCACAAGGUCCUCGAUGCAGAAGAUGUUGUGCUUCCCCACACCCUGCGGAGAACACAGAAAUGAUGAUCAACUUGAUAUGGCUCCCGCCGAGGGUCAUUUCGUCUUCAUCGUAUCACAUGCAGGGUGCUUGCCGCCGCAUACCAAAGCUGUUGAACUGUAGUUAAUCCAUCGCUAUUGCACGUCGUGGGCGCAUCAAUGUAUGUGCUUCUAUAGAUUACAUUUUUCUUGCGACAUCAGAGUUACUGACACUUGACCAAUUGCAACGCCUCAAAUCUGGACAUUAAUUAUGCAAUCACUACUUCAUGAUAGAUGAAUUUAAUUUUGUCUGUCUAGCUGAGUGGGCAUGUGCAUAAGACUAGCCACAGUGGGAGUAACUUCAGCAGUAACUUCAAGUCCAACUCAGCAAAUUUGUCUAUGUGGCAAUGAAUUAAUGAAGAGAGAGGUGGUUCUAGUAACUUAGCUAGUUACUGUAACAUCACAUAUAUCAAGGCAAGAUGAGUCUAUAGCAUAAUAAAUGAAGUAUUGCAUGUUACCACAUAUAUGUUACUUUCCACUAUAGAGGUAGUAACAUAGAGUAGUAACAUGUCCAUGUUACUACUCUAUGUUACUACCCAUUGUGGCUAGUCUAAGAGCAAGAACAAUAAUGUAGCCGACGGCCAGCUGCAAGCUUAUGCCAUGUCAGACUAGAGCCAUCAUAAACAUCUACUUGUAUAAGGCUGGUUCCAAUGGAUGGGUGUUUAGAAGAGGUGCUAAGCAUAUUAAAGGCCUUAGCAACCAAACUCCUCAAUGCAUAGGUUCUUAGCUUCUUGUAGCUAAGCUCUCUUCAUUUAAUUAGUCAUGGGAUCUUAGUAGUAUGUAAACUUUGUGGCCUUUAUGUUGCAUUUUCGUAGCCACUAAAAUCGCUUUAAUAGACCACAUAGAAAUAUAUUUGAACUGAGUCCAUACAUAAAGUGCCAAUAAUAUAUUUGAACUGAGCCCAAACAGAAAAACAGUAGUGGUGGUGACAUUUUGUUUGGACCCUGAUACUCUGCAUGAGUGCUUGAGUAAAAUAAAAUCAUGGAACUUUUCAAAAUUGCUUCAGUUGCCUAAACUAGAAUCAACUAGUAGUACUUUCUGUAACCUAGUUAGAUGGCCGAUGUGCAAAACAAAUCAUGGUCAGUAGUUUAGCAAGAAUCUUGUACUAGGGCAUAUGGUUCAGAACACAUAAUAUUUAUAUCAGAGUCUCCACUAUUCGUAGUUCAGACUAUCAUCAGUUUACCUAUGGUUCAGAUUGCAUACUAUGAUUCAGUCUGUCAGUUAGCAAGAUGCAGAGAAAUAAAAAUUGCAGACAAAAAUCUCAUCUAAGCAUGGACGGGAGGGAGCAAGCACGAGCUGAAGUUGAAUACAGAACACAUAUGUUGAAACAAACUAGCAGCUCGAUUUUGGGGAAAAUGGCUAUUUAUCAUUGAGCAGCUAUCUCCCGCCGCUGGUCCGUGCAGGCCGGAGAGUCGGCCGGGGCUGGGUUUUCACGACCAGAAGGGAUGGCGGCUGCUGCACUGGGGUGGCGGCGCAAGGCGACGACUGAGUAACCGUUCCCCUGGGGCGGCGGCGUAGGGCGACGACUGAGUACUCGUUCCGCUGGCUGCGGCGGCGCGAGGCGAGGACAGAGUUGCUGUUGCGCUGGGUGGGAGCGGCGGCGCAGGGCGAGGGAGAUGAUGAGAUGGAGGUCGCUGAGAAGAAGGGGAAAAAGGAGAAGAGAUGGAACGGCUCGGCGCUGCAUAUGGGAUCCAAUUAACUGUGUUUCUACCUAGGUACGAGCGCUUGGUGCCGUUUCUUCGUGGGGUUACCGGUUCCUUCUCUCUCCUCUUUAAUCAAGAGGCCACAUCAGAUUUUUGCUUACCUGGAAGGCUAAGCACCGAUACAGCCUGGAGCGUUGGGAGAGGCCUUAAGUUGGCUCCAAUAAUAUAAAAUUAUUAAUGGUUUGCAUGUAUGGACUUUGCAUGCAAGACACAGAGGCUGCACAGCGACCGCUCAAGCGCCCGUACGCCGGCUGCAAGCUGGCUUUUGUUCUCGCGUUUUGUGCUAUAGCUGAGCGACAGCUGAACCGCCCGCUCUAUUAUCUCUCCUCCUUUCUCUCCCCUCCACCUAGGAUUGUUGCUGAUGUGAAAAGCUUAUAGCCGGCUGACUGGUUGCUAUUAUACUUGCUCUAAGGUCGACGAUUGUACUUUAUCUAUACAUAACUUCGAACAAUAAGUGGCGCACAAACAUGAUGUGCCUGAAUACUUUGAGAAUCACACCGUCUUGCUGUUUUGGUGCUUCUUUGAGCUUGCAUACCCAUGAAGUUCUCCUCAUCUAAGCAAUUAAGUUGAUGUGGAGUAGCUAGGACCGGAAGAUUUUAUAAGUAAUUCCAUCUCCAAUGAUGAAAUUAAUUAGUUGUCCCAUGCUUAUCUCAUGUGCUUUGUUAAAUAGAUUUCAUGUGCACAGUCAUGCAUACAUAAAGUUGUGCAUUCAUGUGUGUUGGUGAAAUUUUGUGUGACCGUUCCAUGGAAACAAAAUUAAUAUUAGGUAUCACAUCAAGGUUUUAAGUUUUGAAUCCAUGCUUGCAGCAGGGAGGCGGCCCCUAGCAUCUCAAAGGGGUCGGUCGCCCUUGGGUACAUUAUGGAGACAAAGAUAGUAAGGACAAUAUCGUGGCGAGGCGCAAGCAUCAUCAGUGAGAAGUUAGAUAAAUCAAUGAGUCAUGUGCAUGCAUACUAGCUGAUCUAGUCAACAUCAUGCCAAGUGUUCAUAUCCAAGUGCAUGUGGUUCUGUGGUUCCGUUGCACUUGUAGUGUGUCACGGUCAAACCACUGUACGGUGAGGUGUACUACUCUGGGCAAAGAGAUCAAGCUGGAGCAUGUAGUUGAAUGGUAACCAAUAAAUCUGAAUAUGUCGAAUAAGCCCUUAUCUCUACGUGAACCUGUGUGGUCAUCAGCCGGUAUGUAACGAGAGAGCUAGUCUAGUCGGGUUGUCCUCAUGAAAGCAUUGAGUUGCAUCGACAAGUGAUGAAUCUUAUUCAAGUCUUCGAGGGUUUACAAGAGAUGACUAUAACACAGAUUGUUGGAAAUAAUCUUCCCUUGAUAAAGCUCAUUUUGAAGUUGUUGUUUGCUAGCUUGACAUGUCUAUGGUGUUUCGCUUGUGCAUUAUGAAGUUAGUUGUGGUAGGUCUAGGUUCAAGUCCUUUGACUAGUCGUGUUGUUGUCCCCUUGAGAGUUGCGGUAGGUCUAGAUUCAAGUCCUUCGACUAGUUAUGUUGUUGUCCCGUUGAGUCUGGUUCCUAGGUGUGUCUGUGUAUAUAAGCACACUAUAGGCGCUGAAGGUUUUUAGCAAUGGUGAAAUUGUACCAGAGAUGCCGGAAGAAAUAAGGAAACAGAUGGCACGAUAUGUAUCAUUGGUUAAACUUGUUUGUUCGCAUCAUAGCCUGUGUUUCAUGAAAUUUCGAUGCAACUAAUCGGUGGGAGAAAUUUAACAAGUAAUCCAGCUUGUUAUGAGCCUUUCGAAUUUGGAGGCAUCAGGAAUGAAGCGUAAACAGCAGGUCUCUUUAACACUGCUACAAUGCCAGAUCGGGGUCUCGCAAGAGCCAUCCUGGUCGUUGAGCUCCUCUUCCCAUGCAUCGAUGGGCCAGACCGGUGGGCGGCAAUUGCUUGCGCGGCACAACCCGCACUCGAGAUGCACAGAGUCCUCUGCUCGAGAAGAACAGCAACAACUUUCUCCUGCGCUUGUGGAACAGGGCUUUCUUGAAUGGAGUUCUCGCUCUGCUCUACGGGUGUGUUUGGUUUGAGAACCAAGUGUAAUGGAAUGAAAUGGUUCCAUUUCAGAGGAAUGGGUCGGUUCCGUUCUUACGUUUGGUUUGAACUAAAAAAUGGAAUGGAAUGGUUCUAUUCACGUGUUUGGUUGGAGAGAUGGAAUAUAAGAUCAGCUUGACCAAUACGGUAGCGAUAACCAGUACAAUACAUGUAGGAAAUAAAUCUUUUGUAUCAGCAUACACGAUGGCAUACACGCACACAGAGGCGGAGCCAGCGUGGUAGCGUUGGGUUCAGAUGAACCCAACCACUUUUGCUGGUCCAGUACACACGUAGGUAUGUAAAAUCCCAUGAACCCAACAAAAAAAAAGGUCUGAACCCAUCGAGCAACGCGGGAGUGAGCAGUCUAAUAAAAAGGCCCAAAAGCCCAAUAAUAAAUUGCCUUUAUACCGCCUGUUCGUACCCUAAUUCUAUUCUUCACGACCUCGGUCAGCCGUCACGCCACGGCAGGUCGAUGGCAGCGAAGCCGGCAAUCGUUGUUAAGAACUCCAAUUUAGAGGUACUGAGAUCGCAUGACCACAUACGUCUCCUCUCUAGUGUUCAUAUUUUAAUUUUCUAGUUGCUUACUCCAUGUACUUCUUUGUGCGGGUUUUACUCCAAGUGUUUUGACCGAUCUAGGGUAUGAAUGAUAUUUCUCAAAAGAGAAACCUGAUCACCAGAUCCAAAUAGGAGUAUUAUAAUUCAAGGCCACCUAUAGACGCAGGUAAUGUGCAUCAUAUUUCUGAAGACGUAACUCAUCAAUUUCUACAGAGUGUGUGCGUCCGCUUUGACUAAUUUUUGCUUCCUAAAUUGUAUGGCUAGGGUUUUUAAUUUUAAGAGUGAUUACUUGGUAAUUGGAAUAUGGCGACUUGUCAAUUUUUGGCGGUGAUUCACAUAUACUUGGGUCAUUCUCCAAUGGCCAGAUGCACCCGAACUAGGUUAACUCCAUAAUCACACAAUUUAAUCAGUAUGCUUUUAUAAUUACUAGUUAAAUGUGUUGAUGUGGAAUAAGAAAUAAUAAUAUUUCCGCCUUUGCUAUUCAUAAGUGAUAUUAUAUUUCUACCUAUUUUGCAUUUUUUGAGUGCUAUAUUUUUCUUCUUCUUUGAAACCGAGUGCUAUAUAUUUAAUGUAAGGUGGUGCAGAAAAAAAAGAGAGAUUAAAUCCCCACAAUCAGUCAAUGAAUGAACCCAUCGGCUAAAUUUUCUGGCUCCGCCCCUGCACGCACAAAUGGAUAGCACCAUUAUUUAUCUUCAGCAACAUACACGCGGAUAACCGCACAAAUGGAUAGCACCAUUAGGUUGCCAAAAUUAUUAUCGCCAGGAUCCCUGCUAGCUCGCCCCACUACGGCUUGAGGAGGGAAGAUUCGUACUUGGGGUGAAGAAGGAGGUGUUCAUCGCCGCUCGCCCGUUGUAGCAACAGCUCGUCCGCCGCUUGCCCGCUGUAGCAGCCGCUCGUCGGCCCGCUCACCCGCUGGGAGAAGGAGAGACGAGGGAGGUGAGAGCAAGACGGGGAACGAGAAAGGAAGAGACGACCGGGAAGUGAGGGAGAGGCGGCGCUGCUGGCGCAUAUCAUGGUGGGGAGUGGGGGAGACGAGGGCGAGUGGCCCGUUCCGCGUCGUUCCUUCGAUUUGGACGUACGAGUGGAUUCCGCAUAUCAAGCGAAUAUUCGGUUUCUGGGAACGAGUUGGUUCUCCCCCUCGACCCAACCAAACACUCGAACGAGUCCUGGAUGCGGGUCGGACCCAUUAUAUUCCACCUGGUGAUAGAAACUAAACACACCCUACAAGAACAGCAAGGAACCCCUUUUUGCGCUUGUAUACAGGCUAACAUUAGUACAACUGACUAGCAAAUUAGGAGAAGGAUUGCCUCUAGGAUAGAGAGGAAAUUAGCGCCAAAGAUUGGAUCCAAGUUGAAAGUGAUACUCCCUCCUUCCCAAAAUAUACUUUGCACUGUCUCUUAUGCACAACUUUGACCGUUAAUACAUACUCCCUCCAUUCUUAAACAUAGGAUGUAUAGUUUUUAACACGGAAAUUAAAAAAGGCACAUGAAAGAAAAUUUUCACAAGUUUUGAACGAGAUUACACCUGACUAAUUGACAUGAGUAAAUAGAGGAGCUUGCCUGAUAUAAGAAAAUGUAAUCAAAUCCCUAAAACAAAUAUCCAACGAGCGUUGCAACGCAAUACACUUUAUAUUUUGGAAUUUUUUUUUCAAAAAUCUAUACACCUUAUAAGGAAAGGAGAGAGUAUAAAAAGUGCACGGAUUGAACAUGUAUAACUGAUAACAUCCUUGCAGAACAGCACUUCCGCUUUGUUUCAUGUAUAUUUAUACUAGUUUAGUGGAAAUACAAAAAUGAAAACCGUUGUGCGAUUAAAACAAGAAAAGUCAAAGCACACCUUAUAUCUUGGGAAGGAGGUAGUACAAGAUUUGCGUGCCUAUAGCCCAAAUAUGGCAAGGAACUUGGCCAAUAUAAGACCAAAUAAAAUAGUAGAGGACGGAAACCAAAAGCAUUUUUGGGAUCCACAGUAAAAACAAGCUAAAAAACUUAGUAUUUCUAGAGGAAAUGUGGGAUUUCAUCCAAACAUGUCUAGUUCUCGAUACAAAAAACGCAUGCAUAUUCAUCAUCCGCUUCCUAAUGUGAAACAAGUUUAUCCUUCCAACACAGGCUAUUAUCAUGCUCAUUCAACCUAGUUCAUCCUU